rnacentral:rRNA from 1 species
AUUGAACGCUGGCGGCAGGCCUAACACAUGCCAGUCGAGCGGAUGAAGGGAGCUUGCUCCUGGAUUCAGCGGCGGACGGGUGAGUAAUGCCUAGGAAUCUGCCUGGUAGUGGGGGAUAACGUCCUGAAACGGGCGCUAAUACCGCAUACGUCCUGAGGGAGAAAGUGGGGGAUCUUCGGACCUCACGCUAUCAGAUGAGCCUAGGUCGGAUUAGCUAGUUGGUGGGGUAAAGGCCUACCAAGGCGACGAUCCGUAACUGGUCUGAGAGGAUGAUCAGUCACACUGGAACUGAGACACGGUCCAGACUACUACGGGAGGCAGCAGUGGGGAAUAUUGGACAAUGGGCGAAAGCAUGAUCCAGCCGUGCCGCGUGUGUGAAGAAGGUCUUCGGAUUGUAAAGCACUUUAAGUUGGGAGGAAGGGCAGUAAGUUAAUACCUUGCUGGUUUGACGUUACCAACAGAAUAAGCACCGGCUAACUUCGUG